UACGUAGGGGGCAAGCGUUGUCCGGAAUCAUUGGGCGUAAAGAGCGUGUAGGCGGCCUGGCAAGUCUGACGUGAAAUCCCGCGGCUCAACCGCGGUCGGUCGUUGGAAACUGCCUGGCUAGAGUCCGGAAGAGGAGAGCGGAAUUCCUGGUGUAGCGGUGGAAUGCGCAGAUAUCAGGAAGAACACCCGUGGCGAAGGCGGCUCUCUGGGACGGUACUGACGCUGAGACGCGAAAGCGUGGGGAGCGAACAGG
rnacentral:rRNA from 1 species